GACGAGACGAGAAAAUCGUUGUCUCUGAAAAAUUAUUUGAAUUUCAUUUUAAUGUGCAAAAGCAUUUUUAAUCUUAAAAGACGAUCAGACCCUAUGGAGCUUUAAACUUUUUAGGGAGUAAAAUAAUUUAAAUAUUAACUCAAUAAUCAAUUUUUCGUUGGGGCGACGGGAAGAUUUAAAAAAACUCUUCUUUAUAUUAAUAAAAAUAAUUAAAAAAUUGAUCCUACAAGAUAGAUUAAAAGACUAAGUUACCCUAGGGAUAACAGCGUAAUUUGUGUAGAGAGUUCAAAUCGAUACACAAGUUUGCGACCUCGAUGUUGGAUCAAAGUUCCUUUAAGGUGCAGCAGCUUUAAAAGGGGGUCUGUUCGACCUUUAAAUCUUUACGUGAUCUGAGU
rnacentral:rRNA from 1 species